UUUUGUAAAAUUCCAAAAAACCCAGUUGGUUCAAUUGAGUUUCUUGCAGAAGCCAUCAAAGGGAGUAGGUGGGAGACUGAGGAGGAAGGUUUGCCUCUCUCAGUAUCUCUACAACAGAAACUGCCUCUGUCUACUUCUGCCUGAAUGUCCAGUACCUUGUAGUUCAAGCAGCCUCGCUCUCAACGCAAGAAUCUCUUAAUGGGUGUUCUGCUUUCAUUUCUGCUUCUGUUCAAUCUUCUCUCCACAAAACAGAAACACUGACCUCUUAAAAAUCAGCAAUCAGAUCCCUUAGGACUCCCACUUAGAAGAAACGUCCACCUCCUUCUUCUGGUUACAAAGCCCUGUGUGAUCUGGCCCCUUCCGGCUGCUCAUCCCCCAUAGCCACCCUUUCUCUCCUGAGUGCAACUAAUCUCAGCCACUCAGGCCUCCCUUGUCUUUGAAAUGUGCGCAGCUCAGCCUGGCCUCAAAGCUUUGGCCCUGGUGGUUCCCUUUGCCAGGAACCCCUCCUCCAGAUUUACAGGCUGCCAAGCUGGCCAUCCAGGCCUCAGCCAGCAGCCACCUUCAAGGGAAGACUUCCCUAACCCCCAAGGGGAAAUUCACUACAUCUCAGGAGCUCACAGGACCCUGUUUCACUUUCUUCAUCAAACUUUUCACUAUCUGAAAAUCUCUUUUCUUGCAUUGAAUUCCUCCCUUUCGUUUGUUUGCCUCUCACCCACUGGAAUUUAAAUUCUGCCACAACAGGAACUUGCCUGUGUUUUGCACCAUUGUGUUGUUGUUAUUGCCUAUAAUAAUGCCUGGGAUGUAGUAGGAGGUCAGUAAGUACUUGUUGAAAGAAUGAGCUAAAAAAAUGAAUAAAUAGGGCUGAACUGACAUGGCCCACAGGAGUGCAGAAAUCAUGGAGAUACCUUGAGGUCCUGAGGUUGGGGAUAAACUAAUUUUUACCUAAUCUGCAAGUAGUCUCCAAGUAACAUCUGGUUUACAUGUGUAUUUAAUUAUACCCUAUCUUGUUUCAGAAAAAUUUGUCAUUUUCAACGAUACAUAUACUGCAAUAAUUUAUUUUUAAAUAGUGAAUAUGGGGAGGAAAUAAGUGUUGAAAAAACAAGAUGAAAUGGGGAAAAGAUUAGUAAUUAAACUAAUAUCACAAAGUUCUUUUUACCUUGCCAGAAGUGGAUUGCAAAUUGAACAUGGAACUUCUUAAUAACCAGUGAUAGCUUAUCUAUACCAAAGUCCUUAAAAAAGAGAAGAUAGAAAAUGCAAAAUUUUCCUUAUAGAAUUUUUACCUGUUGGCCAUGAAACAUAACAACUAUGUAUAAAAUGAGAAGUGUUCUCAAUUAAUGUUACUAAUCUUAGUUAUAGCACUAAAUUUGGUUUGCCAUCAAUUAAUAUUUAUCGAACAUGUGCACUCAAAGAGUUUACACAUUCCAACAAACUUAUGUGUCUUCUUCACAUCCUGCUCAAGUCAGCUGGCAGGAUUCAGACCAAUUCAAAACAUUUCCAAGGAGCACAACCUGCAGCAAGUAGAGUUGGCAGCUCCCUUGGGUGACGCGUGUCUGACUUAGCUUACUUCUAAUUGGCAGAAAAUUCUUACUUGAGUUAACGUACAGGCUCCUUAAUAUUACUGAGGCUCAUUUUCUUCAUGCUGCCUUCUCAGCCCUCUUCUCUAGAAUAAAGCCCCUCCAUUGGUUUAAUUUUUUCCAAAAUUUAUAUGUUUCCCCAAACUUUGGUCUCUUUGUUUCUGUCUUUGGAGUUUUUCAUGUUCUCUCUUUCACACACAUGCACACACACACACUUUUGAAAGAUAGUCUAAUAGCACAGUGUUGAAAGUAUAAGCCAUGAAAUACUGACCGAGUUGCUUUGCAUUUUUGUGCCUCUGUUCUUUGUUGCAAUUGGGGGUGAUAAUUUCACCUACCUUUCAGGGUGGCUGUGAGGAUUAAAGGCAUGAGCCACCAUUGUGCUGGGCCCCCAUUGUCUUCUACUGUCUAGUGUUGCUGCUGAGAAAGCUGAAGCCCAUUUUGAAAUAAUCACCAAAAGCUUUAUGAUCUUUUCUUGUCCCUGGUGUUCUAGAAUUUUUAAAUGAUCAGCCUUAGUUUGGGUCUUUGUUCUUUUUCCCACUGUGAUGGACUUUCCAGGAUCCAUCCCUUUCCAUGUGAAACUCACAUCCUCAAGUUCUGAAAAAUGUCUACAAUUUCCUCCAUCUCAGCCCCACACAUCCCUCAUUUUCCCUUUCUGGAUUACAGGUGACCAUUGGACCUCCUGGGUUAUUAAUUUUCUUUCUCUCUUUUAUUUCAUUUCUUGGCUUCUUUUUGUUCUACUUAUAGUAGAUUUUCUUAACUUUAUCAUUCUACCCUUGACAUUUUCAUCUCAUUUUUAGUGAUAAUAAUCACUGAGAUUUUUAUUUUGG
rnacentral:lncRNA from 10 species